GGCUCACCAAGGCAACGAUGCGUAGCCGACCUGAGAGGGUGAUCGGCCACACUGGGACUGAGACACGGCCCAGACUCCUACGGGAGGCAGCAGUAGGGAAUCUUCCGCAAUGGACGAAAGUCUGACGGAGCAACGCCGCGUGAGUGAUGAAGGUUUUCGGAUCGUAAAGCUCUGUUGUUAGGGAAGAACAAGUACCGUUCGAAUAGGGCGGUACCUUGACGGUACCUAACCAGAAAGCCACGGCUAACUACGUGCCAGCAGCCGCGGUAAUACGUAGGUGGCAAGCGUUGUCCGGAAUUAUUGGGCGUAAAGGGCUCGCAGGCGGUUCCUUAAGUCUGAUGUGAAAGCCCCCGGCUCAACCGGGGAGGGUCAUUGGAAACUGGGGAACUUGAGUGCAGAAGAGGAGAGUGGAAUUCCACGUGUAGCGGUGAAAUGCGUAGAGAUGUGGAGGAACACCAGUGGCGAAGGCGACUCUCUGGUCUGUAACUGACGCUGAGGAGCGAAAGCGUGGGGAGCGAACAGGAUUAGAUACCCUGGUAGUCCACGCCGUAAACGAUGAGUGCUAAGUGUUAGGGGGUUUCCGCCCCUUAGUGCUGCAGCUAACGCAUUAAGCACUCCGCC
rnacentral:rRNA from 1 species